UCCAGAGGUCUCAAGCGUUGUUCGGAUUCAUUGGGCGUAAAGGGUGCGUAGGCGGCGCGGUAAGUCGGGUGUGAAAUCUCGGAGCUUAACUCCGAAACUGCAUUCGAUACUGCCGUGCUUGAGGACUGGAGAGGAGACUGGAAUUUACGGUGUAGCGGUGAAAUGCGUAGAUAUCGUAAGGAAGACCAGUGGCGAAGGCGGGUCUCUGGACAGUUCCUGACGCUGAGGCGCGAAGGUCAGGGGAGCAAACGGG
rnacentral:rRNA from 1 species